CCAGCAGUCGCGGUAAGACGUGUAAGACAAGUGUUAUUCAUAUUUACUAGGUAUAUUGGGUACUCAGACAGUUAAUUAAGCCAAUGAGGUACUAAUUAUACUAGAGUUUUAUGGGAAAAGGUUAGAACGGUGAGUGUAGUGAUAAAAUACGUUGAUACCACUUAGAGACUGACAACGGCGAAGGCGACCUUUUAUGUAAAAACUGACGUUAAAGUACGAAGGCUCAAGCAAAGGAUAAGGAUUAGAUACCCUAGUACUGUGGGCAGUAAAUGAUGAGUGUCAUAGGUAAGUAUAAAUAUAACUUUUAAAAAAGUUGUAUGACUAUUUACGUAUAAAUGAAAGUGUAAGCACUCCACCUUAAGAGUAACAUGGCAACAUGGGAACUGAAAUCAUUAGACCGUUUCUGAAACCAGUAGUGAAGUAUGUUGUUUAAUUUGAUAAUCCACAAAGAACCUUACCACAAUUUGUAUGUUUUUUUCAAAAAAAAAUCACAGGAGUUGCACGGCUGUCUUCAGUUGAUAUCGUGAGAUCUUGGUUUACUCCAUUGAAUCAACGAAAACCCUUACUUUAUUUUAUUCAUAAAGCAGCUCUCCCCAAAGGAUAUGAUAAUAGGG
rnacentral:rRNA from 1 species